rnacentral:rRNA from 1 species
GAUGAACGCUGGCGGCGUGCCUAAUACAUGCAAGUCGAGCGAACGGACGAGAAGCUUGCUUCUCUGAUGUUAGCGGCGGACGGGUGAGUAACACGUGGAUAACCUACCUAUAAGACUGGGAUAAUUUCGGGAAACCGGAGCUAAUACCGGAUGAUAUUUUGAACCGCAUGGUUCAAAAGUGAAAGACGGUCUUGCUGUCACUUAUAGAUGGAUCCGCGCUGCAUUAGCUAGUCGGUAAGGUAACGGCUUACCAAGGCAACGAUGCAUAGCCGACCUGAGAGGGUGAUCGGCCACACUGGAACUGAGACACGGUCCAGACUCCUACGGGAGGCAGCAGUAGGGAAUCUUCCGCAAUGGGCGAAAGCCUGACGGAGCAACGCCGCGUGAGUGAUGAAGGUCUUCGGAUCGUAAAACUCUGUUAUUAGGGAAGAACAUAUGUGUAAGUAACUGUGCACAUCUUGACGGUACCUAAUCAGAAAGCCACGGCUAACUACGUG